rnacentral:rRNA from 1 species
GGUCAAGCUACAAAGGGCGCAUGGUGAAUGCCUUGGCAUCAGGAGCCGAUGAAGGACGUGAUAAGCUGCGAUAAGCUUCGGGUAGGCGCACAUAGCCUGAGAUCCGAAGAUCUCCGAAUGAGGAAACUCACAUGGGAAACCCCAUGUAUCAUUAAGUGAAUACAUAGCUUAAUGAAGGUAACCCAGGGAACUGAAACAUCUAAGUACCUGGAGGAAGAGAAAGAAAAAUCGAUUUUCUUAGUAGCGGCGAGCGAAAGGGAAAGAGCCCAAACCGGAAACUUGUUUCCGGGGUUGUGGACAUAACAUAAAAGUGGAGGCUAUUGUAACUGAAGAGAACUGGAAAGUUCCACCGUAGAAGGUAAUAGUCCUGUAAGUGAAACGAGAAGACCACGAGUUAUGAUCCAGAGUACCACGAGACACGUGAAACCUUGUGGGAAGCAGGGAGGACCACCUCCCAAGGCUAAAUACUACCUGAUGACCGAUAGUGAAGCAGUACCGUGAGGGAAAGGUGAAAAGAACCCCGGGAGGGGAGUGAAAUAGAACCUGAAACCGUGUGCCUACAACCGCUCAGAGCCCCUUAUGAGGGUGAUGAGGUGCUUUUUGUAGAACGAGCCAACGAGUUACGGUAUGUAGCAAGGUUAAGUACUUAAGGUACGGAGCCGAAGGGAAACCGAGUCUGAAUAGGGCGACUAGUUGCAUGCCGUAGACCCGAAACCGGGUGACCUAUCCAUGGCCAGGUUGAAGCGAGGGUAAAACCUCGUGGAGGACCGAACCACGUUGCUGUUGAAAAAGCAUGGGAUGAGCUGUGGAUAGCGGAGAAAUUCCAAUCGAACCCGGAGAUAGCUGGUUCUCUCCGAAAUAGCUUUAGGGCUAGCGUCGAGUAUGAGUAGUGGAGGUAGAGCACUGAAUGGGCUAGGGGGCAUAGCGCUUACCGAACCUUAUCAAACUCCGAAUGCCACAUACUUUGAGCUCGGCAGUCAGACUACGAAUGAUAAGAUCCGUGGUCAAAAGGGAAACAGCCCAGAUCGUCAGCUAAGGUCCCAAAGUGUAAGUUAAGUGGGAAAGGAUGUGAGAUUUCUAAGACAACUAGGAUGUUGGCUUAGAAGCAGCCAUUCAUUAAAAGAGUGCGUAAUAGCUCACUAGUCGAGAGAUCUUGCGCCGAAAAUGUAACGGGGCUAAACUUACCACCGAAGCUACGGGCUUGAACUUAGUUCAAGCGGUAGGAGAGCGUCGUAACCGGGCUGAAGUCGUACCGUAAGGAGCGGUGGACUGGUUACGAGUGAGAAUGUUGGCAUCAGUAGCGAGAUGUGGGUGAGAAUCCCACAGGCCGAAAACCUAAGGUUUCCUCAGGAAGGUUCGUCCGCUGAGGGUUAGUCGGGACCUAAGCCGAGGCCGAAAGGCGUAGGUGAUGGACAACUGGUUGAUAUUCCAGUACCACUACCAUCGUUAUUAUCGAUGGCGUGACGCAGGAGGAUAGUGUGUGCUAGCUAUUGGAUGCUAGUCUAAGCGUUUAGGCAGUGAGAGUAGGCAAACCCGCUCUCAUAAUGCUGAGGCGUGAUGGGGAAGGUUCUACGGAACCGAAGUACAUGAUUCCACGCUGCCAAGAAAAGCGUCUAGAGAGAGAAGUAGUGCCCGUACCGCAAACCGACACAGGUAGGUGAGGAGAGAAUCCUAAGGCCGGCGGAAGAAUUACAGUUAAGGAACUCGGCAAAUUGACCCCGUAAGUUCGCGAGAAGGGGUGCCUACGAGAGUAGGCCGCAGAGAAUAGGCCCAAGCAACUGUUUAGCAAAAACACAGGUCUCUGCUAAAGCGUAAGCUGAUGUAUAGGGGCUGACGCCUGCCCGGUGCUGGAAGGUUAAGGGGAACACUUAGCGCAAGCGAAGGUGUGAACUUAAGCCCCAGUAAACGGCGGCCGUAACUAUAACGGUCCUAAGGUAGCGAAAUUCCUUGUCAGGUAAGUUCUGACCCGCACGAAUGGCGUAAUGACUUGGGCACUGUCUCAACUGUAAAUCCGGCGAAGUUGUAGUGCGAGUGAAGAUGCUCGCUACCCGCGAUUGGACGGAAAGACCCCGUAGAGCUUUACUGUAGCUUAGCAUUGAGUUUUGGUAUUGUCUGUACAGGAUAGGUGGGAGACUAGGAAACCAGGGCGUCAGCCUUGGUGGAGUCAACCUUGGGAUACCACCCUGACAGUACUGAAAUUCUAACUGGCGGCCAUGAAUCUGGUCACAGGACAUUGUUAGGUGGGCAGUUUGACUGGGGCGGUCGCCUCCUAAAAAGUAACGGAGGCGCCCAAAGGUUCCCUCAGAACGGUCGGAAAUCGUUCGAAGAGUGCAAAGGCAGAAGGGAGCCUGACUGCGACACCCACAAGUGGAGCAGGGACGAAAGUCGGGCUUAGUGAUCCGGUGGUACCUCGUGGGAGGGCCAUCGCUCAACGGAUAAAAGCUACCUCGGGGAUAACAGGCUGAUCUCCCCCAAGAGUCCACAUCGACGGGGAGGUUUGGCACCUCGAUGUCGGCUCGUCGCAUCCUGGGGCUGAAGUAGGUCCCAAGGGUUGGGCUGUUCGCCCAUUAAAGCGGCACGCGAGCUGGGUUCAGAACGUCGUGAGACAGUUCGGUCCCUAUCCGUCGCGGGCGUAGGAAAUUUGAGAGGAGCUGUCCUUAGUACGAGAGGACCGGGAUGGACUGACCUCUGGUGUACCAGUUGUUCCGCCAGGAGCACAGCUGGGUAGCUAAGUCGGGAAUGGAUAAACGCUGAAAGCAUCUAAGCGUGAAGCCAACCUCAAGAUGAGAUUUCCCAUAGCGUAAGCUAGUAAGAUCCCUUGAAGAACACAAGGUUGAUAGGUCGGGGGUGUAAGCAUGGUAACAUGUUCAGCUGACCGAUACUAAUAGAUCGAGGGCUUGACCAA